AGCGAACGCUGGCGGCAGGCUUAACACAUGCAAGUCGAGCGGGCACCUUCGGGUGUCAGCGGCAGACGGGUGAGUAACACGUGGGAACGUACCCUUUGGUUCGGAACAACUCUGGGAAACUGGAGCUAAUACCGGAUACGCCCUUAUGGGGAAAGGUUUACCGCCGAGGGAUCGGCCCGCGUCUGAUUAGCUAGUUGGUGAGGUAACGGCUCACCAAGGCGACGAUCAGUAGCUGGUCUGAGAGGAUGAUCAGCCACACUGGGACUGAGACACGGCCCAGACUCCUACGGGAGGCAGCAGUGGGGAAUAUUGGACAAUGGGCGCAAGCCUGAUCCAGCCAUGCCGCGUGAGUGAUGAAGGCCUUAGGGUUGUAAAGCUCUUUUGUCCGGGACGAUAAUGACGGUACCGGAAGAAUAAGCCCCGGCUAACUUCGUGCCAGCAGCCGCAGUAAC
rnacentral:rRNA from 1 species